rnacentral:tRNA from 3 species
GCCAAAAUGGUGGAAUUGGUAGACACGCUAGACUCAAAAUCUGGUGGGGGCGACCCCGUGUCGGUUCGAGUCCGACUUUUGGUACCA